GACGAAGGAUGCAAGCGUUAUCCGGAUUCAUUGGGUUUAAAGGGAGCGUAGGUGGCCUUGUAAGUCAGUGGUGAAAUCUCUGGGCUUAACCCAGAAAUUGCCAUUGAUACUGCAGGGCUUGAGUACAGAUGCCGUUGGCGGAAUAUGACAUGUAGUGGUGAAAUACAUAGAGAUGUCAUAGAACACCGAUUGCGAAGGCAGCUAACGAAACUGUAACUGACACUGAGGCUCGAAAGUGUGGGGAUCAAACAGG
rnacentral:misc_RNA from 1 species